CCUACGGGAGGCAGCAGUGAGGAAUAUUGGUCAAUGGCCGGAAGGCCGAACCAGCCAAGCCGCGUGAAGGACGAAGGUGCCAAGCAUUGUAAACUUCUUUUGUCAAGGGACAAAAUCAGGCUCGAGAGCCUGACCGAGGGUACUUGAAGAAAAAGCAUCGGCUAACUCCGUGCCAGCAGCCGCGUUAAUACGGAGGAUGCGAGCGUUAUCCGGAUUUAGUGGGUUUAAAGGGUGCGUAGGCGGACUGUUAAGUCAGCGGUAAAAGCCCGGGGCUCAACCCCGGCGAGCCGGUGAAACUGGCUGUCUUGAGAUGUCGAGAGGUAUGCGGAAUGCGCAGUGUAGCGGUGAAAGGCUUAGAUAUCACGCAGAACGCCGAUUGCGAAGGCAGCAUACCGGCGCUCAACUGACGCUGAGGCACGAAAGCGUGGGGAUCGAACAGGAUUAGAUACCCGGGUAGUC
rnacentral:rRNA from 1 species